UUGCUUUAGCUGCACAUACACUAAAAUUGGAAUGAAAUGGACAAGAUUAGCAUGAUCCAUGAACAAAGGACAUGACAGAUAAUUUAAGGAUUGUUUGUUUUGUUU